CCUCCGGACUGUCGGACAAACUCAAGUAGCUACGGCGAAAGAGGACAGGAAGAACGAGGAA
ncrna:unclassified sequences RAGATH-18 RNA